CCCCCCCCGGCUGACCCUACCGUGCGUGCGAGUUCCGCCCCCGGACUUCGGUUUGCGGCCGGCUGGCGGGAGCUCGGUUUCCUCGGCACCCGCCAGGGCUUCGGGACAACGCGGGGCCGUGUCCUCGCUGACAGGAGUCCAGUCUCCUCAGGACCUGCCCGGAGGUGCCGACGCGGGAGGAAACAGUGAGGAGAAAGUGGGGAGACUUCCUGAGCUUGCGCACACGCGUUCCCCGCGGGCUCGACUCUGCGCGCAGCUGAGAGCAGUUGGGUCUCCUCAGGCACUGCCGGGGCUUCGGCUGGGACGCCCGGGUCAGCGUCUCUGCUGACGGAGCUCAGUCUCCUUAGGACUCGCCGGGGUUUCAGCUUUAGGACAACACGGGGCUGCGUCCACGCUGACGGGAGCUGGGUUUCCUGACGACCCAGGCGACGCUGGGAGGAGAAGGAUCUUAGUUCCCCAACCAGGGAUGGAACCUGUGCCCCCUGCAGUGGAAGCGCCAAGUCUUAACCACUGGACCGCCAGGGAAGUCCCGGCACUUUGCAGAUGGGCAGAGUAAAGAGGUGAGACCGGGCAACCCUCCUGUCAUGAAACAUACGUACCAGUGGGCGAUGCGGAGCAGCGCUAACAGCAAGCAACCACCGGACGCACCCUCGGAGGAGCAGGUCCUUCUCGCUGCGUACAUCACAGAUGUCACCUGACCACAAAUCUUCUGCCCUCGAGACUCGCUGCCACCAGCCAACUGGCCAAGCAGCUGCUGCUUGCUCCACAGGACAGGGAGCACGUGAUUUUCCCUCCUCAUUCUAGUCUCUGCACCUGGAAAUACGUGCUGGGAGGGAAGGAAAGCGUAUUGGAGAAAUAGAAUUAAUAUGAUAGAAGAGAAUUAUUAUAAGGUACUGGUGCACACAAUCCUGGAGGCUGAGAAGUCCCAAGGUCUGCCCUACGCAAGGUGGAGACCCAGGAAGGACGGUAGUUCUAAGGCUUGAGAGCUGCAGACCUGACGGUGUAGGUUUGAGUCUGAGCCUAAAGACCUGGGAACCAAGAGGGCAGGAAGCAGGAGAAUUCAACCUUCCUCCCCCUUUCUGUUCUAUUCAGGCCCUCAACAGAUCGGAUGAUGCCCACCCCGACUGGGGGGUGGGAGGUGCAUCUGCUUUACUCAAACUACCAAUUCAAAUGCUAAUCUCUUCCAGAAACACCCUCAUAGACACACCCAGAAUUAACGUUUAACCAGCUCUCUGGGUACCCGGUGGCCAGUCAAGCUGAUGAGAAAAUUAACCAUCCCAG